GCGGACAUGACGUGUGGCUGUCGUAAAAACCCUAUUUGUAAACAACCAGCCCUUUAACUCGGGGCUGCGUCAUAAACACGGCGCGCUUGGAAGACCACGAUGUCAUCUUCCUUCUGUCAGGAGGAUCCAAGUGAAGCUACAGGAGUUUCAUUAACGUCAACAACUUGGACCAAACAGUUUGUUUUGCUUGAUGAAGAGCAGGAAGGGCAGCCUGGAGAGAAAGAGAAGCCGGGUUGAGCCCACUACCAUCAUCCACGUACCACGAGGAAGAUGAGGGAGAGAAAUGAUCCUACCAUUAAAGAGACUGUGAAAAGAACGUUGAGAACAUCACCACUCUACAGGAAGACACAGUCCAGUAAUGGGUGUCAGAAGUUCAGUAGUGAACGACAGGUACUGUGGAAAAAUAUGUGUCAUUGUUGUACAAUGUCCUUUGACUCUGUUUAAACAAGGUUAACACAAAAAGGUUUGAUUGUAAACUGAUAUCGGUAUGAAUUCAUGUUAUUCUCCUCGUCAAAAGAAACAAACAAUCCAAAUUACCUGCAGAAAGCCGUUGAUGGACGCUUCAGCUGCAUCGUCAGACUGGCAGUACUGAUGCAUUUACUGAGACGGGACGUGAGGGCCUACUCUGCGUGCUCAGAGUUCAAGCCCAGCAGGCUGCAGCGGGCCUGACAUAUUCUGGAACAGCAGCACAGUCUUUGGAUGACUCCUCUGAAGAUGAAAACAUGGCGAGUUCUUCUCAAGAGAAGCAGUACAGGUGUGCCUCAGCUCCACGGUCCCUCCUGCAGCCUCCGCUCCUGAUGCUAACCUCAUGUCUCCAUCACACCAAGCAGCAGACCUGGAUUGACAGACCUUUCUCCAGAGCUGCCCCCUCCCUCUGAAACCCCCCUCUCCAAAACACUAUUUGUGUAGUUUUUAAAGUAUUUUUUGCAUGAGAAUUGUUGAUCAUAACAUUUCCAGCAGAUGCCUUAAUAUAAUGUUU